CCUGUCAGAUGCUCCAGUGUCUAAUUUGUAUCGAUUGUAUCGAUACGAUUUUUUGUUUGAUUUCCUACUGUAAUUUAGUCAGUUUAGUUUGUUUAUCGCCUGCCUUGUGCAGUGAUUUGUUUUUGGUUGGCGCUGCCCUAUGUGUACUCGUAUGUCAUUACAUUAUUUGCUUUGAUACGUUUAUUUUUGCUUUAUUAUCUCACAACCUGGCAGGACUUCUUUUGUUUGACUGGUACUGUCAAGUUAAGCGCCUAAGGCUGAACUAGUGCAUGAAAGUGUACUCUGAACUACUGCCCUUUUAAAGUGUCUGUGCACAGUCCUCACUUCAAUCAAACCUUUUAAAGCUACACCAUCACACUUUUGGAAAUCAAGCCGGCACUUCAAUCCACUUUACGCCACCAGGGGGCGCUAUUGCUCUUGUUUGGUUCCAGUGUUUUUUUGGUUGUUUUUGUCUGACCAUUACAUAAUUUCCCAUUUAGUUCCUGUUGGAAAUUAGUUUUGAUUGUGUGCACCUGUUUCUGUUAGUAUCUAAACUCUGCCUUGUGUCUUAUCCUUUGUUGGUUAGUUGUUGUGUUUGUUUCUAGCCUGUAGUUGUGUUCAGCACUUCAGCCUGUUUAUGCAGUUUUUCGUGCCUGUACAAGUCUUUGGACGCAAACGCAGCUGGCUAACGUUACAGCAGACGUGUUUCUCACGCUGUACAAGGAUGAACAAACUGCGGGGCAAAGAAACGCUUCUUCCCUCAUGCGUGUGAAGCACACAUUGCAGCGGGCAGAGGAGGCGUCAUCCUCACUUUGCUUCCGCGAAGCACCUGUGGCACAGGAGCAUAAGCGGCUUCAUAAACGCGCUCCUCAACAGCAGGAGUCGGUGUAAUCGGUCAGCAAACAACGCUUCCUGAGAACAUAUGCUUGUGUUUGACGCUCAUUUGUUUAGCAGAUGUUCACUGGUUCCACCUGGAAGCUCCACUUGGGGUGUAAUUAAGAUUAAGAUUAAGAAUAUGCUUCCAAUGUACUAUGUAGAAAGCAAAAACUUCAAAAAGUUGAAACCAGGUCCUGUGCACUGGGGGCAUUGAGGAUUUUUACAGACAUGAGUUUUAUCUUUCACUGGCAUAUUCUUCUGAAGCACUGGCCCAUGUUACUUAACCAUCAUCAGGCCCACAGCAAAAUCUGGCUGCUGCUGCACAGCCUCACCGUCCUGCAAGUCAAAUCCUCCUUUUUAGUUCAUUAAUGCAUCAGCAUGUGUGUGUGUAAUCAAAUAGAAGAAAGAAUAAAAUGAAAUCAAGUGCACAUGGAAAUAGAUAAAAGUAGUUUUCUGCUGC